rnacentral:rRNA from 1 species
UACGUAGGGUGCAAGCGUUGUCCGGAAUUAUUGGGCGUAAAGAGCUCGUAGGCGGUCUGUCGCGUCUGCUGUGAAAACUCGGGGCUUAACCCCGGGCCUGCAGUGGGUACGGGCAGACUAGAGUGCGGUAGGGGAGACUGGAAUUCCUGGUGUAGCGGUGAAAUGCGCAGAUAUCAGGAGGAAUACCGAUGGCGAAGGCAGGUCUCUGGGCUAUAACUGACGCUCAUGCACGAAAGCGUGGGGGAGCAAACAGG